rnacentral:rRNA from 1 species
UACAGAGGUCCCAAGCGUUGUUCGGAUUCAUUGGGCGUAAAGGGCUCGUAGGCGGCCAACUAAGUCAGACGUGAAAUCCCUCGGCUUAACCGGGGAACUGCGUCUGAUACUGGAUGGCUGGAGUUUGGGAGAGGGAUGCGGAAUUCCAGGUGUAGCGGUGAAAUGCGUAGAUAUCUGGAGGAACACCGGUGGCGAAGGCGGCAUCCUGGACCAAUACUGACGCUGAGGAGCGAAAGCCAGGGGAGCAAACAGG